AUGGUCCUGGAAGAAGGAAAAGCAGAGGACGAAAAGGGAUUGAGUGGACAUCAUCCCAUCUAUGACAGGUGCAAGGUGGAACCCUGGUCUUUUGAGAAUCCCAGACCACCAGAAUUUGAAGAACUCAGGGAAACUGAAUUAGAGUUUUUGAUAUGGACUGAAUCACUGUGGAAUUAUUAUAAGAAACUCUUUGGCAGUGGAACAACCCUUGUUGUCACAGAUAAACACCUUGAUGCAGAUGUUUCACCCAAGCCCACUAUUUUUCUUCCUUCCAUUGCUGAAACAAACCUCCACAAGGCUGGAACAUACCUUUGUCUUCUUGAGAAAUUUUUCCCAGAUGUUAUUGAGAUACGUUGGCAAGAAAAGAACAGCAACCAGGUUCUGAAAUCCCAAGAGGGUAACACCAUGAAGACUAACAACACAUACAUGAAAUUUAGCUGGUUAACUGUGCCAGAAAAGUCACUGGAUAAAGAGCACAGAUGUAUCGUCAGACACGAGAAUAAUAGAAAUGGAGUUGAUCAAGAAAUUAUCUUUCCUCCAAUAAAGACAGAUGUCACCACAGUGGAUCCCAAAGACAGUUUUUCAAAAGACGCAAACGAUGUCACCACAGUGGAUCCCAAAGGCAAUUAUUCAGAAGAUGCAAAUGAUGUCACCACAGUGGAUUCCAAAGACAAUUAUUCAGAAGAUGCAAAUGGUAAGUUUUUGUGUUUUUUAUUUCCUCCUGAUCAUUUUAACCUUUGAACUUCUCUUGUUUCAAAAAUCAGAGAAUGGAUUUUGCUAGGUUGGAUGCUACAGAAUGGGCCUAGUGAUAUUUUAAAUUAGUCCCUCCUUUUCUAGGAGUUGUAUUAACAAACCUAACUACUGCUUCAGGUAUGAGAUGGCUAUAAAUUAGAGUGAUAUGCUUUCAGUUAUUUCAAAAGUUAUUUCAAAAAAACAGACUUUAUUCAUCCAUGUGUCUUUUUUGUUUGU